rnacentral:lncRNA from 1 species
ACACCCCACCGGCAUCAUGAAACACGAAAUGGGAGCUAGGUCCGAAAAACCAGGCGUGAUAGGCCAUCCACUCCUUCAUCCUUGACGCACUCACAUUCCCAUACAAGGACGAACCACAAUACAAGUACUCGUAGGGAUAUGGCGGGCUGAACUUGGACUCGUCGUAAGACCCCGGUGCUUCCUCCAAUACUGUGAUUUUCUCAUAUCUUUUAGGUGACUCCCCGUAGUAAGCGUAGAGAAUGAGCUUCCCUCCCUUAUUAUCAGCGUUAGGAUUCACGGUAAAUGUGCAGUUUACAACCACCACAGUGUAGACACGGCCAUAGCCCCAGUCGGGGAGGAUCUUAAUAGCUUUGGCCUUCUUAGAAGCAGAGAAGGAGGCAUUGCCAUUGCUGUUGGGGAUCCACUCGCAUUUAUACCAAGGGCGGCCAAAGACGUGAAGGGGCUUGGAAGCAAGACCGACGACGGCGAAAGUGGUAGGACCGCCGCGAUAGGCGCCCAUCUGGACGAAGAGAGAAGCGGCAUUGCCGUAGGCAAGGAAGGUUCGUUUGUUAGGGUCG